ACUUGUGAAAAUAAGUUCAUAACGAUUAGGUGAAAUUCACUUAUAUUCUAGCAUCAAAUUCAUGCAUGUAAAUUAAGCGUGCACUCUCAACCAACAUACACAAAUCAGUUUUUAUACGAAACGGAUAAGUAAAUUGAAAUCACAACUUAUGAAAUCACAACCGAAGUUAAUCAAUUCAUAUUACAAAUAUAUUCAUGGUUUCGAAUUAACCUCUAGCCAAAAUAAAAUUAAUUACACAUUAUUAAAACAAAAAUAAAAAUAGAAGUUUGGAAAGAUUAAACCGAAAGAGGAGGAUGCUUCAGUCUGUCCGUGCGCUGCCAUUUUUCUGCCCUCGGUGCUGCCAAGAGCAGCGCACCCUUCUUUCGGUUUUGCUCCAACUGCAAGGGCAGCCUUCUUCCCCAGCUGCGCUGGCAGCUCCCUCAAAUCAAGUCUGCCCUCCCCUGACCUCUCUCCUCUCCUCUGACUCCCCUUAUUUCUUCCUGUUUUCACGCUGCCCAAAAGGGCAGCCUCUUCGACCGUUUUUUUCCCCCUCCUUCUGAAGUCUGCUCUCUCCUUUUAUCCCAGUUUCCGCAAGGCAGCUCCCUCCUUAUUCUUUCCACGCCCUGACCUCCUGUCAGCGCCCCCUCUCCCUCCUUUCCAGCUCCAAGACCACCCACUGUCUAACUCCUUUCUUUUAUUCUAUUAUUUUCCCUUCUUUUCCUUUUCCUUUCUUUUUCUUUUCUUUCUUUUUCUUUUCUUCUUUGCCGUUCCUUUCUUCUUCUACAAAACAUGAAUCAUGAUGAUGUUUCAAACAUCAUCAUGACUUGUUAUUAUUAUUAUAUAUAUAUAUUUUUUUUUAAUUUUAUUUAAAAGCUGAUCUACAAAGACAGUUUUGACGAAUUUAUUACAUAAAAUUUCACUUGUUCUAUUUUUAUUUUCUUUGCAUAACAAAUCCUAUAAACACAAAAAUAACGUAAAUAGCUCAAAAAUAUAAGGAACUAACUAAGAAAAGACGAGUGAAUUCGAAGUAAAAAUAUAUAUAAAUAUGAUCCGAUCAAAUACCCCCACACUUAACUUUUGCUAGUCCUCGAGCAAAACAAAGAAAACUAGAACAAGAAGAAACAAGAAAAACAUUAGCUUCCCCCUAUGUGACCCUCAUAGAAUUUCAUUUAAGAAAACAAAUCAUCAAGAACUAUAGCUAGCAUCAAGGAACUAAUCCAAGUUCAUCUUCCUAAUUCAAAUAUUAGCAGUAAUCUUUGAAUCAUCCUUGAAGUGUAGUGUGUGAGAUAGCCAUGCUAAUGCAAUUUCAAGUUUUUAUUUUUUAAAAAUCAUCAUAUGCAAACUAGCGACCUUCUCACUGGAUAUGCACUCAAUCACACAUGUGUUUAGUUUUAAUGUGUUUCGCUCAAAGAAACAAAUGUGAAAUUUCUACCAUAAGCUUGCAUAAAGAUCACUUCUCCACAGUCAUAAUUGCAAAACUUAAAUCAAGAGGACUUUUAUUGGAUGUAAUGAGGCUUAGGGAUAGGGUUAUUGAAAUGAAAGAAUAGGAAAACACAAGUUCCAAGCUAUAUUGCAAGCAAUUCUUUUGUUUAGAUUUAUAAGAACUCAAUUUUUCCAGCGAUUCUUCUAGCACCUCCAACCAUACCCUUAAACUGAAACUUUUAAAAAAAAACUUUUUAUUUUCUUUUUUUUCUUCCUUUUUUUUUCUUCGUAUACAAUCUUUCUUUUUCUUUUCUCUCUUUUUUUUUUUUUUUUUUUUUUUUUUUAUUUUUUUUAAUACAAACAUGAAAUACCCCCACACUUAAUCUUUUGCUAAACAUCUUCACAGUACUUCACAAACGUUUCUCAUAAAACAAUCUCACAUUGCUCACUAGCUUGCUUGGAAAGGGUAAGGAAAAAUGUUUCAGGUAUAAGGGUAGACAUAUCUGGUGAUAAGAAAUAAAAGGCUCAACAUACAUGGCUCAAAUUGGCAAUCUAAUGAUAUCAUUUUUCUUUGGGAAACAUGGUUAUUUGGGCCAUAGUGGUAAACCUAAUGCCUCUAUCAUUUCCAAGUUCAUGCAAUCAAUGACAAACAUUUCGAAAGAUCGUUACGCAAGUUCUAGAGAUGUAUCUCACAAAAGUUCAUCACACAUGAAAGAAUAGGAGUGUAUGAAAAAUGCACACACUUUCAAUAGGCUCAAAAACUCACAUAGGAUGUAUAUGGUCACUAAAUUCACAUAUAAAGCUUUAAGUCAUGCUUUAGUUUCACAUCAACGAGGCUAUGUGCAUUUGGUUUUUUUUUCAAAGAUGGUCAAACAUGUACAAAACUAACAAGAGAAUUAGGAAUUUCACAAAACACAUGUUAACUAAGUUCUUGAUGAUCAUGGUUCAAAUUUGAUCCAAUUAUAUCAUUGGGUAGGGAAACUAACAAAAAAAUCUAAUUCAAAACAAUAAGGGAAACAAGACAAUAUUUUUGGAUUUUUUAAAUUUUCCGAAUUUUUAAUUUUUUUUUAAUUUUUAAUUUUUUUUUUUAAUUUUUUUUUUUUUUAAAAGAAAACAAAACUAAUUAAGAACACAAAAAAACAACAACACAGAGACAAAUGAAAUUCUAGAGAUUUCUACCCCCACACUUAAACUUGACAUUGUCCCCAAUGUCAGAAAACACUAUAAUGCAAAUAAAAAAUAAAAAAUAAAAUAAAUAAUAAGAAACAAAAUAAAACAAGUGGACUGAAAACUUCCCUAAUUUGCAGUAAAAUCAAGCGAUGACCCCCAAGCUAAAAUUCUACAUCAACUUCAAGGGUGGAAAGAACCAAAAGUUCCUGCAAAGAAAAGAAAUAAUUCAGUUAAGUACGCAAGAAAAUUUACAUAAAAAAAUAAAAAAAAUAAAAAAAUAAAAAAAUGCAAAUAUUUUACAAUAAUGUAAACUAAUAGUAUUCAUUGGUCGGGUGGUGCUUCAGUAGUAGGCGGGGCUUCAGCAGUCGGCGGGGCCACAGAAGGAGGAGGCGGCAGAGGUUGAUCAGUUGGAGCUUCACUACGCGGUGCCGCUCCAGAAGACGAAGGCAGAUGCGGUUGGAACAAACCCACAAACCUCCGAUGAUCAAGUAAAAUUUGACCAUCGGUGUCCUGCAUCUGGUCAAUCUUUCUCUUCAUGCUGGUGGCAUAAUUGUGUGCAAGCUUGUGCAAUUGUUUAUUUUCAUGCUUGAGUCCUUUAAUCUCCUCUUUGAGACUCUGUAUUUCAGCCACCAACGAUUCAACAUGACGGGUUCGGGCAAAUAGGCGUUGGGCCAUGUUGGACACGGAACCGGCACACUGCACGCUAAGAGCCAGAGACUCCUUAACCGCCAAUUCAUCAGACCGCCUAGCGAGCAGUCUGUUAUCUCUUGGGGUGACAAGGUUCCGGGCCACCACCGCAGCUGUCAUAUCAUUUUUCAUCACCGAAUCCCCCACGGUAAGGGGACCGGUAGGGGAUAUGAAGGAUGGCCGCCAUAUGUUGUCUGGUGAAGGCGGAGCUACCUCUUCACCAAUGUUCAAGUCAAAACGACGAUCAGAAGGGCCAGACAUUUUUCAGAGGUGGUGAAGAAAGAAGAGAGUCGGAAUGAUCAAGAUUAAACAAGUGCAAGAAGGGAGUGUUUACAGGAGGGUACUCAAGUGUGUUGAGGAACAAAAUUAACGCCUCUAUAAAAAGAAGAAAUCAAAGAGGCGCUCCUCAGAGAAGCGUCCUCUCGCAAAUCGAAGAGUCGGGGCUCCUUUCUCAAAAGCCGGAUUCUUUUCUCAAAAGAGGAGUUUCCUUUCUCAAAAGCCGGAUUCUUUUCUCAAAAGAGGCGUUUCAUUUCUUAAAGGCUGGGCUUGCUCAGAAACCACGAGCCGAACCCCGGAUUUCGCAAGAUCAAUUCGUCCAGACGUGUUGUCACCCGUCACACGCAAACUCAGCUCUGCGAAAAUCACGGGCAGUAUGUCGAAGUGCCGAUUCCAACCAUCUGUCUCUCUCAGCCUAGUCAGCAUUUGUCACAUGCAACUGGCAGCUUUGCGGAAAUUACGGGCAGCUUUGUCAGAAAGCGCGUAAUUUGUACUAUUCAUCCAUCCACCGGCUGCCGACACUAAGUGAGAGAACAGUUCCGGUUGUGAAGACAAGUCCUAUAAGUUUCUACCUUCGCCUUCCACAGCAAAAGCACACUCUCUCAGCACACCCUUUCAACACUUCUUCAUAUCCGAAAAUGCAUUCCCAAAGAAUCCUCUCGAGUCACUCUGUGUUCCUCAUUCCUUGGGAUACUCCUGCGAACAACCCAUUCAAAGCAAAAGUAUUUCAUAUCAUAAAGGUUGAAAGCAAGAGUAUCUCAUAUCAUGCUUUCUCCAUGUCCUUCUCCUUGUCUUUGUUUUCCGACAAGGAGAAAAGAGAGCAAUCAGCCAGCAUUUGGUAUCAAUCUUCCGAUCUGGAGCCAACUGCCUGGAACCCCUUCCUGAUUGCUUACCUAGCCUUGCUCUCGAGUACUCAUCUUCAUCAUUUUAUGCUUUCUCUUCGUCUACCACAUCUGCCUGGGGGACAGUAAGGGAAGUGAAAAUGAUACCUCGAAGCAUGUGGAGACAAUUCAGCUAGGGACAAGGAGAAAGAAAGCAAGAGGUGGGCACUUGGAAAGAUUGAAGAAAGAAAUAAGGACCAACACCUUUCCCUCGUGCCUGCCCGUUGUGCAGAAGAAGAAACAAGCAGAGAAGAAUGCAGCUUGCACAAUCAUCCCAGCGGAAGGAGUCCGAACUGAGGAACUAGAGAAGCUGCCACAUCUGCUUGGAGAACAAAUAAGGAACUGCAACAUUCCCAAAGAGCAAAGCCUUGCAGUACAAUAGCAUAAAAUCAUCACUUGCAAGUGAAAAGCUAAGUGUCACCCUGUUCAAGAGGAAAGCUGUGGAAAGUCAACAAGCACGACCAAUGAUUACUUAUUAGUUUUAUUCAUUAUCUUUUAUCGUAAUUUUCAAUUUUUCGUUUGCAAUUUUUUUUUUUUUUUUUUUUUUAAUUAAUUUUCUUGCGUACUUAACUGAAUUUGAUGCGAAAUAUAUAAGCACACACAAAUUAAACCCUCUUUUUGACAAUUGUAGUAUAGAUGUAAGUAGGGUAUCGUUCUAGGCCGGGGAUUAGGAGGGAUUGCUAAUCUAUUCUAAAUUAAUUUAAAAAUAUUAAAUAAGACUCAAGGACACAAAACUAGGCUAAAAACUCUAAUAACUUGAAACACACUUAUAAUGACUCAAAAUAAUGGAAACACUCAAAUUAGACACUAGGAACUGAAAUGGACGGAAAUUGAAUUAAAAGACUAACAACAAAGAAAACUAACUAAAUAAUAUAAUUUAAUAAUGGAUGGGUGUUUGGUUUUGAUGAAAAGUAAAAUAAACUUAAUUAAAUUACAGAAUUGACAAAAACAUAAAAUUAAGGUAAAAUGAUAAAUGACGGACUAGCUAGAGGGUUCUUCUCCACACAUGUUAUACUUGCAUACAAAAUGAUUUCCAGUUGUUCAUUUAAUAAAUUGUGAAUCUCAAUACUCCAGAUUAACCGUGAACAGCACUUUUUUAAUCUUCAAGUUUUCCUUAAGUUAUUGAAUUGGACGGAAAAACGCAUACAACAAUUCAAAACAUUCUUCAAAAGUCCCCUACGUGAAAAGCACAAUAGCGAUACAAUCAAAGAUCAUUAAACUUUGUGAAAACUAUAAGCAUUGACGAGGCAUUCGUAACUAUGAAAAGCAUGAUACUCUUGCCAAGAAUUUACUUAACGUGAUUGUGACUAGCAACCUUUACUACUUGUGAAAAUAAGUUCAUAACGAUUAGGUGAAAUUCACUUAUAUUCUAGCAUCAAAUUCAUGCAUGUAAAUUAAGCGUGCACUCUCAACCAACAUACACAAAUCAGUUUUUAUACGAACGGAUAAGUAAAUUGAAAUCACAACUUAUGAAAUCACAACCGAAGUUAAUCAAUUCAUAUUACAAAUAUAUUCAUGGUUUCGAAUUAACCUCUAGCCAAAAUAAAAUUAAUUACACAUUAUUAAAACAAAAAUAAAAUAGAAGUUUGGAAAGAUUAAACCGAAAGAGGAGGAUGCUUCAGUCUGUCCGUGCGCUGCCAUUUUCUGCCCUCGGUGCUGCCAAGAGCAGCGCACCCUUCUUUCGGUUUUGCUCCAACUGCAAGGGCAGCCUUCUUCCCCAGCUGCGCUGGCAGCUCCCUCAAAUCAAGUCUGCCCUCCCCUGACCUCUCUCCUCUCCUCUGACUCCCCUUAUUUCUUCCUGUUUUCACGCUGCCCCAAAAGGGCAGCCUCUUCGACCGUUUUUUCCCCCUCCUUCUGAAGUCUGCUCUCUCCUUUUAUCCCAGUUUCCGCAAGGCAGCUCCCUCCUUAUUCUUUCCACGCCCUGACCUCCUGUCAGCGCCCCCUCUCCCUCCUUUCCAGCUCCAAGACCACCCACUGUCUAACUCCUUUCUUUUAUUCUAUUAUUUUCCCUUCUUUUCCUUUUCCUUUCUUUUUCUUUUCUUUCUUUUUCUUUUUCUUCUUUGCCGUUCCUUUCUUCUUCUACAAAACAUGAAUCAUGAUGAUGUUUCAAACAUCAUCAUGACUUGUUAUUAUUAUUAUAUAUAUAUAUAUAUUUUUUUAAUUUUAUUUAAAAGCUGAUCUACAAAGACAGUUUUGACGAAUUUAUUACAUAAAAUUUCACUUGUUCUAUUUUUAUUUUCU
rnacentral:lncRNA from 1 species